AGCCUGAUCCAGCCAUGCCGCGUGAUUGAUGAAGGCCCUAGGGUUGUAAAGAUCUUUCAACAGUGAAGAUAAUGACGGUAACUGUAGAAGAAGCUCCGGCUAACUCCGUGCCAGCAGCCGCGGUAAUACGGAGGGAGCUAGCGUUGUUCGGAAUUACUGGGCGUAAAGCGCGCGUAGGCGGAUUAUUAAGUCAGAGGUGAAAUCCCGGGGCUCAACCCCGGAACUGCCUUUGAUACUGGUAGUCUAGAGGUCGAGAGAGGUGAGUGGAAUUCCGAGUGUAGAGGUGAAAUUCGUAGAUAUUCGGAGGAACACCAGUGGCGAAGGCGGCUCACUGGCUCGAUACUGACGCUGAGGUGCGAAAGUGUGGGUAGCAAACAGGAUUAGAUACCCUGGUAGUCCACACCGUAAACGAUGAAUGCUAGUCGUCAGGGGACUUGUCCUUUGGUGACGCAGCUAACGCAUUAAGCAUUCCGCCUGGGGAGUACGGUCGCAAGAUUAAAACUCAAGAAUUUGACGGG
rnacentral:rRNA from 1 species